rnacentral:rRNA from 1 species
CAGCCGCCGCGGGAAUACGAAGGGUGCAAGCGUUAAUCGGAAUUACUGGGCGUAAAGCGUGCGUAGGCGGUGAGUUAAGUCUGCUGUGAAAUCCCCGGGCUCAACCUGGGAAUGGCAGUGGAUACUGGCUCGCUAGAGUGUGUCAGAGGAUGGUGGAAUUCCGCGUGUAGCAGUGAAAUGCGUAGAUAUGCGGAGGAACACCGAUGGCGAAGGCAGCCCCCUGGGCCAACACUGACGCUCAUGCACGAAAGCGUGGGGAGCAAACAGGAUUAGAUACCCGGGUAGUCCCUGUCUCUUAUAC